UCUAAUAUUUUUAGAACGAGUUUUGGGGAGUCGGAAACGAACUUAUAAAUAUGAAAAUAUAAAUACACCCGACCCUCAUUCUGCAUCCAUUAAUUCUCAUCCAUGCGAAGUGUAGUGUCUUGGUCUGCGUCAGAGGCCGAAUUGAUUUGGCUUAUCUAGACUGGACAGCAAUGAGUGAAUUUGGAUCUUGAUAACACUUUGGCGCAGAUGAGUGAGACGACGGCGGGUGGAUUUGGUGAGCCCAGCGUCGUACUCGACGGCCGAAAGCGAUAAAAGCUGGAACCAUGAUAAGAUUCCCCUAACUGUUGCUGCAUACGAAUAUUCCAUCUUUGAUUUAUUGUUUGCGCCAGCCGGGUGAGGACAUCUGCGGAGCAAGAUUUCUAUACGACCAAGACGCAUAUGUAUGUAGAAAGAGAGCUCGGUGGUGGUAGUGAAGCGCUUGAGAUCAACAUUGCGAUCUCGUCUGAGAUUCAAACGCUGUGCUGUGCGAUUGAUCAGCAGGCAAAGCGAAAACUUGAAGUUGUUGAUUAAGGCCCGUCUCUUGGGGUAGAAUAUAAGCAGUCGAAAAAAAAAAAACAAACAAAGCCCCAACGUGACACAGAGCCUGGGAGAAGCAAAGAACCUGUUUCGAAUCUGUCUAAAUGUAAGUCGCCCAAGGUCGAUCACUCGGUCUUUUAAGAGUUUUUAAAAAUGUUUGACGGUGAAAAAGUCACCCAAAGACGGAGUCUGAAUCACUGAUCUUAUCGAUUAAUUAGAAAACAGCACGUGACGGACGACUCGAGAGGUAAACAAAAUCCGAAAAGUAGCAGCAAGAAAUGAGCAGAGGCAAGUCCAGACUCACGAAACUUUUAGUACCCUGGCUACCAUCGUUCUAUCGAUCGUCGUUUUGUUUGACUGUUUUAAAUUAAAUGCAAUACUAAUUAUCAGAACUGGGAGUUGAACCUUAAAGAUUUGCGAAGACUGGCCUUAAUAACAUUCUUUGAAAAGUAUACAAAUAAAAAUUAUAUCCUACAUUUAUUAAGUCAAAGAA
rnacentral:misc_RNA from 1 species